rnacentral:rRNA from 1 species
CGCGUGGGGAUCUGUCUCCGGGUGGGGGAUAACGAUGGGAAACUAUCGCUAAUACCGCAUGAAGCCCGAGGGCCAAAGGCGUUGGGGAAACCUGACGUCGCCUGGAGAGGAACCCGCGUACGAUUAGCUUGUUGGCGGGGUAAAGGCCCACCAAGGCGACGAUCGUUAGCUGGUCUGAGAGGAUGAUCAGCCACACUGGGACUGAGACACGGCCCAGACUCCUACGGGAGGCAGCAGUGGGGAAUAUUGGACAAUGGGCGAAAGCCUGAUCCAGCAAUGCCGCGUGAGUGAAGAAGGUCUUCGGAUUGUAAAGCUCUUUCGACGGGGACGAUGAUGACGGUACCCGUAGAAGAAGCCCCGGCUAACUUCGUGCCAGCAGCCGCGGUAAUACGAAGGGGGCUAGCGUUGCUCGGAAUGACUGGGCGUAAAGGGCGCGUAGGCGGUGAGUACAGUCAGACGUGAAAUUCCCGGGCUCAACCUGGGGGCUGCGUUUGAUACGUGCUUGCUUGAGUUCGGAAGAGGGUCGUGGAAUUCCCAGUGUAGAGGUGAAAUUCGUAGAUAUUGGGAAGAACACCGGUGGCGAAGGCGGCGACCUG